CAUGACUUCGUUUUUUUUUUUUCCCCCAUGACUUCUGAUACCACUAAUUUUUGUUGCUCAAUUUUGAGAUUUAUACAAAUGGAAUCAUACAGUAUGUGUUUAUUUGUGUCUGGUUUCUUUUACUCAACAUUGUAUACAUAAGGGUCACUCAUUGUUCUAUGGUAUUCUAUUGCAGGAAAAUAUCACUGUUUAUCCAUUCCCUUGCCAAUGGACAUUCGGAUUGCUUCUAGGAUUUUGGAUAUUAUGAAUAAUUCUGCUAAGAACUUUUUUUGGUGUUAAAGAUUUUAUUUAUUCAUGAGAGACAGAGAGAGAGGUAGAGACACAGGCAGAGGGAGAAGCAGGCUCCCUGCGGGGAGCCUGAUAUGGGACUCGAUCCUGGGACCCCAGGAUCACACCUUGAGCCAAAGGCAGAUGCUCAACCACUGAGCCACCCAGGCGUCUCAAGAAUUGUUCUGAAUAUGCCUUUUGUGCAUACAUGUGUGCAUUUCUAUUGACUAGGUAUCUAGGAGUGGUUGCUGGGCCACAGGGUAUGUGUAUGGUUAGCUGUAGUAUAAAUCAUUUUAUUUUGCUAAAAUCCAGAAAGCCACUUGAAGUGAUUUAAGAGUAAACACACCCAAAUGCAGAAAUUUUCUAAAUAUAAACACAUGUUCAUUCUUCUUCAGAGUUGACCUGAGCAAACACUGGCAUAGGCAGGACAAUUGAAUAUCAGUCACGAAGUUACUGGAGUGUGAUGCCUCACAAACAUGACUUCUGAAGACACCAUCUUCUGUGAGUUUCGACCCUCAGGAAAUGAGACACCCUCUGGGGGACACGUCCAGCUCGCCAUCAUUUCCCUCUUCUUUGGGGACCACUCCGAAGCCAGCCUGGGAACAAGGCUGAGUCUGUACCAUGAGCAUUUCGGAGGUGCGAGUGGACGUGUCUGGCCCUGCAGACUGGUGAGUGGACGAGGCUGGUCUGUAGAGAUGAGAAGCGGAACAGGUGUGCUCGGAGGAGCAGAGGUGAGCAGCUGCGGGGCCUGCCGGUUAGGUGGUUCUUGGUUCACUGCGCUCCUGCCCUGA
rnacentral:lncRNA from 12 species